GAUGUUUGACAUGGGGCUGCGGAAACAGUAUCGGCCAGACAUGAUUAUUUUACAGAUCCAGAUGUACCAGCUCUCAAGGUUGCUUCAUGAUUACCACAGAGACCUCUACAAUCACCUGGAGGAGCACGAGAUCGGCCCCAGCCUCUACGCUGCCCCCUGGUUCCUCACCAUGUUUGCCUCACAGUUCCCGCUGGGAUUCGUAGCCAGAGUCUUUGGUGAGCAUUAGUAAAUCUGUUUGCUGGAACCAGCCUUCUCUUAUUAGAGGGGAAACAUUUCCUGUCUCUCCAUGGUGAUUCUUAUUUUUAUACCUGUAGCUCUUACCAGAACAGGGUAUUGUUUGAUAGUCUAAGAUUAGUCAGGGGUGGGUUUUGUGACUUUGAAGUCCUCCUUAACUUCUGAUAAUCAUGGGGCUUCCCUAGAUGCCUUCAUCUUGUGGGAUGUGGAUCUGAGUCCCUCACCAUGAGGGUCUCCCUAGAGCAGACAUUUGGAGGACUUGACUGAGGAGCCACAGGUGUAUGUUUCUCAGCCACUCUGGGUUGUGAGUGUUGACUGAUGCUGACCGUGGGCCUCUGGGCCCU
rnacentral:sRNA from 1 species